UCGCACCCUAAUUUUUCCAUCUACUUCCUGUACUGCAUUUGAAGUGCCUAUAAAUCACAUCUUAGGUCAACCCUUUCCUUAACAUGAAUAAUAUUUGUAUUCUCGCUGUGUAAUACAAUUUUACAACAAUGCCAAUUAAUUCUUUUGGCAGCCUAGACUUUCCUUCUUUUUUUUUUCUCUUCUUUUUCAAAGCCCUAUUACAUUUCAAGCCUAUCUUUUAGUGUUUGUGGUGAUGACUGCUUUGAAGCAUGAACUUUGCAUUUUUCGAGACGUAUCUGGAAAAUGUCACAGAAGCUACCAAGUUGCAUGUGGAAAAGCCAGUGAGGCAGAAACAAGAUCGACUGAUCUCAUCUCCCAAGCCAGGAAAGAGGGAAAUUCAGCAUUUGGCAUCAGAAGGGUAAAAACAGAGACUUUUUAUUUCAAUCAUAUCGUCUGAGACCUUAGCUUCUUAUGAUAAACUCUGGUCAGUUCCCAUCAUGCCAUUCUUUCCCCUUGUGAAGAAUCAUUCAACUGUAGUUUGUAUGCAUCAUUUGCUGGUGUCCUUGUGAGUUCUGUGUGUGUUCAAUGUUCUCAGUUGGAGGGCUUGGAAUUCCACUUAAUUGUGUCCUCCCUUACGUCACAAAAUUCACCCAGCACUUGCCCCUGGCAGUCAGCAGUAUUCACAAGUUUAUGGGAGCUCAUAGCUUCAGAGUGUCAUACCACUCAUGAAAUGGUGAGGGUGUGGCCUAAUUUGUUUUUUGGGUAUGUGUAAGAGACUGACUAAAGGAAGUCCCUGCAGUUCAGAUGGUUUCCCUGUGUGACCAUGGGCAAGUUACUUCCUUUUUUUCUUUCUUUUUUUUUUUGGAGACAGAGUUUUGCUCUGUUGCCCAGGCUGGAUUGCAAUGGUGCAAUCUCGGCUCACUGCACCCUCCACCUCCUGGGCUCAAGUGAUUCUCUUGUCUCAGCCUCCUGAGUAGCUGGGAUUACAGGCAUAUCCACUGCGCCUGGCUAAUUUUUGUUUUUUUAAAAUUAUACUUUAAGUUCUGGGUACAUGUGCAGAAUGUGCAGGUUUGUUACAUAGUUAUAGAUGUGCUGUGGUGGUUUGCUGCAUCCAUCACCCCGUCAUCUACAUUAGGUAUUUCUCCUAAUGCUAUCCCACCCCCCCGACACCCUCAACAGGCCCUGUUAUGUGCUGUUUCCCUCCCUGUGUUCAUGUGUCCUCAAUUGAUCAACUCCCACUUAUGAGUGAGAACAUGUGGUGUUUGGUUUUCUGUUCUUGUGUUAGUUUGCUGAGAAUGAUGGUUUCCAGCUUCAUCCAUGUCCCUGCAAAGGACAUGAACUCAACCUUUUUUAUCGCUGCAUAGUAUUCCAUGGUAUAUGUGUGCCACAUUUUCUUUAUCCAGUCUAUCAUUGAUGGGCAUUUGGGUUGGUUCCAAGUCUUUGCUAUUGUGAACAGUGCGUCAGUAAACAUAUGUGUGCAUGUAUCUUUAUAAUAGAAUGAUUUAUAAUCCUUUGGGUAUAUACCCAGUUAAUUUCUGUAUAUUUAGUAGAGAUGGGGUUUCACCAUGUUGGCCAGACUGGUCUUAAACUCCUGACCUCAGAUGAUCCACCCGCCUCAGCCUCCCAAAGUGCUGGGAUUACAGGGGUGGGUCACUGUGCCUGGCCUUACUUAUCCUUUCUAAGCCUGUUUUUUGUUUUUGUUUUUGUUUUUUUAUAUCUGCAAAAUGAGAGUAAUAAAGAGAUAAGGUGAGGAUUAAAUGAGGUGAAGCCUAUAAAGUUCUUAGCAUGUAGUGUUCAAUAAAUAUUCAUUAUUGUAGUUGUGAAUAUAGAAGAUCAAUUCUUGGGGAUCAGCUUGUGUGGUAUGAACUUGGACUGUUGGGUCAGAAAUAGAAGUGGAUAGUAAGAUGGGACCUAACUCAUAGUAUUAGUUCGGUGACUCUGGAAACCCCCUGUAACCACCUGAGCUCCGCCUUGGGGUUAUUGUGAGGCUUAUAGAAGAUACAGGGUGUGCAAUGCUUGGCACAUAGAACUCCUUAACCAGCGUUGGCCGAUUCCAGGUCUCUGGCCUUCCCAAGAUGGCCUACUGGGCAUUGGCUCCAGUAUGCAUUUCAACUGUAGUUUUACUUGACAUGAUUCAGACAUAAAGAAAAGGAAAUCCCUUAGAUUAACAACCUCCAAGUUAAAAACAACAAUUUAACACCCCCUUUCAGAUAUUUUCCAAACACCAGGCACCUUUGGCUCCAUUAUUUAAAAUAUCAAGUUAACUGAAACAAAAAUUGCUGUUCUGGGCCAGGUGCGGUGGCUCAUGCCUGUAAUCCCAGCACUUCGAAAGGCUGAGGUGGGUGGAUCACCUGAGGUCAGGAGUUUGAGACCAGGGCGUGGCCAACAUGGUGAAAUCCUGUCUCUACUAAAAAUACAAAAAUUAUUCGGGCAUGGUGUCAGGCACCUGUAAUCCCAGCUAUUUGGGAGGCUGAGAUGGGAGAAUCACUUGAACCUGAAAGGUGGAGGUUGCAGUGAGUCGAGAUCACACCACUGCAUUCCAGCCUGGGCAACAGAGCGAGGCUCCACCUCAAAAAAACAAUGCAAAGCAAAACCAAAAAUUGCUGGUCUGUUAAAAUUAAAUGAAUGCACAUAUUGUUAUGAAACCAUGAAUUAAGGUUCUGCUAAUUAUUCCCCUGUAGAACAAAUACACUGAUUGGGAAGUAGUACACAGUGCCACCAAAGUUCUUUGGGACGCCAGAUGCUCUGAAUGUCAACAGCCUGGCUGGAAAGAGGCUAUUGCUGUGUGCUUUCCCCUGCAUCUUAGUCUCCUGGCUUGCACCAUGCAUCUUAGACUCCUUGGUUCGUACCUAGCAUACUUCUGGGCAGAAUUAUUGCUCGAGUGCCC
rnacentral:lncRNA from 1 species